rnacentral:rRNA from 1 species
GACGAACGCUGGCGGCGUGCUUAACACAUGCAAGUCGAACGGAAAGGCCCUGCACUUGUGCGGAGCGCGAGUGGCGAACGGGUGAGUGUCACGUGAGUAACCUGCCCUUGACUUUGGGAGACCUCAAGGAAACAGGGGUGCAUACCCGAUAUGAGCUCCUGCAGCACGGUGUGGGUGGGAAAGAGGCGGCGUUUCGGGACGGACGCGCGGUAUAUCAGCUUGUUGGUGGGGUAGUGGAUUACCCAGGCACUGACGGGAAGCCGGACUGGGAGGGUGACAGGGCCCAUUCGGCCUGAGGUGCGGCCCGGAGUCCUACGGGAGGAAGGAGUGGGGGAUAUUGCAAGAUGGGCGGAAGCAUGAUGCAGCAACGCCGCGUGCGGGAUGACGGUCUUCAGGGUGUAACCCGCGUUAGCGUGUGACGAAGCGCGAGUGACGGUAAUGGGUAAAGAAGCAACGGCUAACUACGUG